UGCCUCCUACGGGGCGCAGCAGUGGGGGAUAUUGCACAAUGGGGGAAACCCUGAUGCAGCGACGCCGCGUGGGUGAAGAAGCGCCUCGGCGCGUAAAGCCCUGUCAGCAGGGAAGAAAAUGACGGUACCUGAAGAAGAAGCCCCGGAUAACUACGAGCCAGCAGCAGCGGUAAUACGUAGGGGGCAAGCGUUAUCCGGAUUUACUGGGUGUAAAGGGGGCGCAGACGGAGAUGCAAGCCAGGAUCGAAAGCCCGGGGCCCAACCCCG
rnacentral:rRNA from 1 species